rnacentral:misc_RNA from 1 species
CCGAGUUUUGGACCGCAAGGUCCUGACUUCCACCCACUGUUUAUACAAAAUGACACUUCGGCAAGCCGCGGCAGCUUGAGAGACAGCGGCCCCGCCGACCUGCGAGAGCGGGUGGACGUGCGCUUGCCGGACGCCACACACAACUCUAUUUUGACCUCAGUCAGUUUGAUACGAAAAUAAAUCA